UACGAAGGGGGCUAGCGUUGCUCGGAAUCAUUGGGCGUAAAGCGCGUGUAGGCGGCUUCGUAAGUCCGUUGUGAAAGUCCAGGGCUCAACCCUGGAAUGCCGAUGGAUACUGCGGAGCUAGAGUCCGGAAGAGGCGAGUGGAAUUCCUGGUGUAGCGGUGAAAUGCGCAGAUAUCAGGAGGAACACCAAUGGCGAAGGCAGCUCGCUGGGACGGUACUGACGCUGAGACGCG
rnacentral:rRNA from 1 species